rfam:Vibrio nereis strain DSM 19584 contig0007, whole genome shotgun sequence.
GGGUAUCCGCCAUACGUACUUCGUAUAAUCCCACUGAUACGGUGUGGGAGUCUCUACCUGGAACCGUAAACUCCAGAUUACGAAGAGUUAAGUGCACUGC